GAAUGUGAGGACAAUCUGGCUCUGACAUCUCUCACCCCAUUGAUCGCCAGGGUCGAUUCAGCUAAUCUUCCUGGCUAGGUGGGUGUCCCCUUCCUCCCUCACCACUCCAUGUGUGUCCCUCUCACUGGAAGCUGCGGGCACGGUGGAAGAGGACGACCUUCCCCAAAGAGUGGUCUGCGGUCAAGGGUACACGAGUAGCUGCACUCCCCUGCUAGAACCUCCAAACAAGCUUUCAAUAUGUAAUGAAGGAUGAUUUUGAACUCCAGACCCUUCUGCCUCUACUUCCUGAGUGUUGGGAUUACAGACAUGUGUCACCCACACUC
rnacentral:snRNA from 1 species